rnacentral:rRNA from 1 species
UACGAAGGGGGCUAGCGUUGUUCGGAAUCACUGGGCGUAAAGGGCGCGUAGGCGGCUUUGUAAGUCGGGGGGUGAAAGCCUGUGGCUCAACCACAGAAUUGCCUUCGAUACUGCAUGGCUUGAGACCGGAAGAGGUAAGUGGAACUGCGAGUGUAGAGGUGAAAUUCGUAGAUAUUCGCAAGAACACCAGUGGCGAAGGCGGCUUACUGGUCCGGUUCUGACGCUGAGGCGCGAAAAGCGUGGGGAGCAAACAGG